GACAGAGGCCCCGAGCGUUAAUCGGAAUCACUGGGCUUAAAGGGUGCGUAGGCCGGUCCGAAAGUGCUUUGUGAAAUCCCAUGGCUCAACCAUGGAACCGCGGGGCAUACUACGGAUCUCGAGGAAGGUAGGGGCCGCCAGAACAGUAGGUGGAGCGGUGAAAUGCGUAGAUAUCUACUGGAAUGCCGAUGGUGAAGACGGGCGGCUGGGCCUUUCCUGACGCUGAGGCACGAAAGCGUGGGGAGCAAACAGG
rnacentral:rRNA from 1 species